GAAAAGUUAGUUAACAAAUAACAUAAAAUUGUCAAUUUUAAAUUACUAAUUAAUUAGUACUUUUCU
rnacentral:tRNA from 1 species